CAAUAGCGUAUAUUUAAGUUGUUGCAGUUAAAAAGCUCGUAGUUGGAUUUCGGGUAGGAUUUGCCGGUCCGUCUUUGAGAUGUGUACUGGUAAGUCCUAUCUUCUUGUCGGGGACCAGCUCCUGGGCUUCACUGUCCGGGACUGGGAGCCGACGAAGUUACUUUGAGUAAAUUAGAGUGUUCAAAGCAAGCCUACGCUCUGAAUAUAUUAGCAUGGAAUAACACGAUAGGACUCUGGCUUAUCUUGUUGGUCUGUGAGACCAGAGUAAUGAUUAAGAGGGACAGUCGGGGACAUUCGUAUUUCAUUGUCAGAGGUGAAAUUCUUGGAUUUAUGAAAGACUAACAUCUGCGAAAGCAUUUGCCAAGGAUGUUUUCAUUGA
rnacentral:rRNA from 1 species